CCAAACUUCAUUCAUAACGAUUUAGACCGAAGAUCUCGGGCGAUCAAGAAGCAAGAGAUAACACUAUAAGAGGACCUCGGAUAGCCUCUCAUCCUUAAAGCAAGCUGACUUGAAAAUUUUGAUUGUCUGAGAAGCAAGCGACAACCUCAUAAGAGGAUCCUUGGAAGCCUCAAAACUUUAUCCACGAUAACCUAGACCAA
rnacentral:lncRNA from 1 species